AUGGAUUUGGGCACAGUACCGGGUGAGUUCACAGUUCUUUGUAUUCAGUGGAUAAAUGGAAGGCAAAUGCAUUCAGAUCAAUACUAUGCCAUAAGAGGGGCCCAGAGUGUGCAAGCGAGGAGGGGGAAUUGGUGGAAUUGGACAAUGGAGCCACUGAUUAAUCAUUCCUGUGCUGUUAUUGACUUUCUGGUAAAGGGACAGGAUGAAGAGCUUGACUGUGUGUUAACAGCACAUGAUAAUGGGCAUCCCACAGGGUGUUAAAUACAGACACAUAUCAGCCAACCAGACAAAACACAGGAGGUCGUCGGACAAGAGCUAGGGGGAAGGGAAGUGUCACAUUUCCCCAGCUUUGACAUCUGACCUUCUGGCUGUGACCUUGUACAUUGUCUGAGAGGGCAGACGGGCACAGCUGAGUACAAAUCACCCCUUCACCAAAGGAUGAUGCUGUAUGAUCAUUCACGUAUUCCAGAUAAUCUGUGACUCCUUUAUUGUCUAACUAUUUCCCUUGUUCUAUCUACCUGCCUCUGUUCUCUGUUGAUAAAUAUCUAUUGUGUCAGCUUUUUACUGGUUAACUUUGCAUAAGAAUUCAAAUCCACUGGUAGAAAAUCAGGCCAGGCUGAAAUCUACAGCAUGGUGUGAAGCCAACAUACUCAGAGUUCACUAAGUGAUUCUUUUUCCAGUAUUCAAGUCAUUAAUGCACACAAAGUGAGAGCAUUUGAGAAGGUUUCAUCAUAUUAAUUAGGAAAUACUACUGCUGAAGUACUAUCAACAAUAAUUUAAGAGUCAAACACGCUCUCACUGUGACCAAACAUUACAGUAGAACUGAACACAUCAUACUAUAUCUCAAAAUGUUUACUUGUAACUACUGAUCUUAUUCUUACUCUACCAUGUUUUUUAAUUCGCCAUUAAACUUCACCUUGUGCUUGAACAAUGCACAAGUGUUUGCACUUGAUCCGUUUCCUGACCUUUCUUUGCUCUAAGCAAACGUCCCGAGAAGGGAACCAUGGUUACGGCUUUCAUCUUACAGUCUGGUUCCUCUAAACUGCAUGCACCCAAAAGCCACAGCUGCUUUUUAAACAAUCAAGUCGUUUUCCUCAUUCAUUCCUCCAUAAAAAGGCAAAUGCAAUCUAACGCCACCAUGACUGUUCCUCAAAGGCCUUAAGAAUCCCCCAAAAAAUUUUUCUUAUGAAGCCUCUGGGUGUUCAAUGCUGUUUUGAAGAGUCUGCUGUCUUUGUGUGUGGUUCUACACUGAGAGAUACUG
ensembl:lncRNA